rnacentral:rRNA from 1 species
UCGAGAAUCAUUCACAAUGGGCGAAAGCCUGAUGGUGCGACGCCGCGUGGAGGAUGACAGCUCUAGGGUUGUAAACUCCUGUCAUGAGAGAGUAAAAACCUAUCGUUAAUAGCGAUCGGGUCUUGAUAGUAUCUCAAGAGGAAGGGACGGCUAACUUCGUGCCAGCAGCCGCGGUAAUACGAAGGUCCCAAGCGUUGUUCGGAAUCACUGGGCGUAAAGCGUGCGUAGGCGGCAUGGUAAGUCAGAUGUGAAAGCCCGGGGCUCAACCCCGGAACUGCAUCCGAUACUGCCAAGCUAGAGUAGUGGAGGGGAGUCUGGAAUUCACGGUGUAGCAGUGAAAUGCGUAGAUAUCGUGAGGAACACUAGUGGCGAAGGCGAGACUCUGGACACUAACUGACGCUGAGGCACGAAGGCUAGGGUAGCGAAAGGG